CGGUAAUAUUCAUUUGCUAGCGCAUUUGGAGCGAACAAAGCAACGAUAAAGAAAUUCGCAAAUAAAAUUACAUUGAAAGUACAAAUAAUACUAUACAAAGAUACACAAACCAUAAAAUGCAUAAUCAACUGGCGGACUAGCACAUGCUCACAGCAAGGUCGCUCUGCAAAAGUGUUGGCAACUCUGAGAUACUAUAUUUAAAUGCCCUUUGUAUACACAAUAAAAAACAACAAUUGCUUAAAAUCACAAUGCCCCUUAUCAAAGUGAAUGAGAUGUGAACGAUAACAAUAUGAAGUCAAUGCAGUUUAAAACCACAUUGAGACACCAUAAUUAAAGAAACUUAAUAUUUAUACAGUGUGGUAUAGUAUAGUAUUUGGAAAAAUUUCAUCUGCAAUAUCAACAGAUCACGUGCUGCAUUGACUGGCAAACACAUGUACAAGUGC